GGUUCCUCCUCUUCUUUUUAUAAGUGUUUGUACAUUUUGGGAAAAAUCCCUCAUCCUUCAAUUGUACUUCUAAUUCAUAUAAAUAAAAGUUUGUUUUUUAUUAAAAAAAAGGGUGAGCAAACUAUCAAAAGCUGAGCUAUAUGACCAAAAGUAUUUUGUCCACAUUGAUUGAAUAGUAGCACCAUCAAGGAAGUUAUACUAAUGUGUGCUUUAUGGUUAGUGAUUGGCUGUUCCAUUGCUUGAAGUUUUAUGUGCUUAAAGGAUGCUUAUUUAGAUAAGAUAGACUCAAUAUUAUCACGUUAUAAUGUUUUAGUGUUUCACUCCUACUUGUUUAUAUCAAGUGCUUGCACUCAAUACUUGAAUUUUUUUUUAUACACAUUGAUUUCACCCUCAUGUCCCUUACUUUGAAAGUGGAGCAGAUAAAAAAGAAAAAGAUGAGUGGUAGCAAACCAAGGGGAAAUUCAAGAAGGACCCACCAUCUACUUGUGAGCUCAUGUAAGUGACUUACUCUUUAUUGAAGAUUCGAGGUUGUUGUUUGUUCAAUCAGAAAGUCACAGGUAAGUCUAAAAAGGUUUAUUUAAUGGCAAGUUAAGUAGUUAAAGGGUUGGAUUGGAUCAGUAAAUUUUUUUAGAGCCAAAUUGUAUUUUAUUUUAUGUUUUGGAAAAACAGGGUGGCUCAAGCACCAUCACCGCUCAAGCGCUCAAGUACCCGAAGCAAUCGAGUUGUGGUUAAGUGCGCUCAAACAAUCCCUCUAAAUCUGCUAGAAUAUCAUAGAUCACUUUUUUGGAAAUUAAGGAUUUGUUCUUUUUGAAAAAUUCUAGUUACCAAUCCUCUAGGUCUUAGGACCUAUAUAAAUUCUUUCUUAACUUGUUUUUGGGUUGGAUGCUUUGAAAGAAUCAACCCUAACUUGCCUUAUCAUUCCCAAACUCUCUCAAGAAUUCACCAAUCGAAUUCUGGGUUGUUGGAAGGACUUCCAUCCCUCAAAGGCUGAGGUGAAUCCAUCGGAGCAUUGGAGGUGUCGCGUUGCGAACGUGGAUCAUGAUAUAGGUUUUUCAAGUUUGUUGAAUGAUAAGCUAAAGUUCUACCUGCUGUAAAUUGGGCCUAAGUAUCCUGGUUUUAUUGGGGGUUGGAAGAGGAGCCUGGCCUAGAAGUGGGGAAGCUGCCAAAGGAGACAAUGGGGUUCUGCCUGAAACUGCAGUGUUGGAUGCUGGACGAUGAGGACUCGUUAUCUUUACUGGAGUUGGAAAAUUGUCCAACAAUGAAGGGAAUUUGUAGACUGCCAUGGCAUUUUCUUCUGCAGUGUUCAGUUCAUGAAAAACAACCGACAUUUCGUCUCCCUUGGGCAAUGGUUCAACUAAGUUGUUGGUCUCAUCAACAUUAACACAAACUUCAGAAUGAGGCUCUCCAGUCAUCGACAUUGGAUCAUAACCAUUGGAGGGAGGUGAAACAUCCUCAAAGUCCAUGCUUCCCAGUUUGGCAAAUUCAAGCUCAACCUGUGCUUCUGAUUGAUCAACAACAGAGCAAUCAGAACCCGAUUCACCGGAAAAUGCAUCCCCAGCCUUCUUGUUCAAAUCCAUAUCGAAUUCUUCACAGUCGCCUUGAUCUGCUACCUUGCCAUCAUCAUCAUCGUCAGGCUCUCCUUCACUGGUCACAUUCAUUUCAGAGUCCAUGCUCACUGGGUUUUGGCAUACAACUUCAUCAGCAAAGGCACUCAUACUCAACUCUGGUUUCUCAGAAUCAUCAACAGAAGCUUGUAGUGGAGCAAAUCACAACUUGAAUCAUCAACAGAAGCUUGUGGUGGAGCAGUAAGGUCCAGUUCCAGAUCAGAUUCCCCGUGCUGCUGCUCAUUCUCCAGUUUCAAACCCUCAUUCCAAUUUUUGGUAUUUGACAUUAUAACUGAAGAAACACCAGCAAAACUUUUCAUCAUCAGAAACCACAAAACUGUAAACAGCCAAGUACAACAGGCCCAGAAGGAAAAGAUUGAAUCUCAGCUUCUGCAUAUUGAAGAUGGAAACACAACUGUUAAUCAUCAAUCAAGAUCAAACCAUUUCAAUAUUGGUUUUGAAUUGAGAAAAAUUACUGAGUACUCGCCUGUGUUCUCCUGCUCAUCAUGAGCUUCAUCUUUUUCCUCGGAAACUUCAAGAAAAUCUGAAUUAUCGGGUUUGGCAGAAUCCCCAGUAUUCUCUUCAACUUCAGCUUUUGAAUCAUUUCCACUCAGGACAGACUUUGAAAUGACCUCUGAAUCAUCGGUUAUCUUUGAAUUAUCUUCUGAUAUUGUCUGUGAAUCAGCUCCUGCAUAGUGAUCAAUGUUAGAAGACAACGAAAUCUUAAAUCGUAGCAUGUUUAUUUAGCUCCUGAGAAAAUGUGGUUAAUGCUAGAAUUUUAUUGUCUGGCAAGCAAGAAAAUGUAAACACUGCAUUCAACUGAGGUCUAAUUCAACUGUUUUAGCUCACUUUUCCUUAGAA